AGGACCGGUCCAGAAAAUCGUCACCGGUGUUGGCCGUGAGUGGAAGUCGAACUCGGGUAACCUGAUUUGUAGCGAAACGCGCUAACCACUGCACUACCGCUCCACACAACUCUCUGCUGAGUAUUCUAGCGGUGUCUCCACACGAGGUAGACACACACACAGACACAGACAACUCUGCUGAGUAUUCUAGCGUUGUCUCCACACGAGGUAGACACACAGACACAGACAACUCUCUGCUGAGUAUUCUAGCGGUGUCUUCACACGAGGUAGACACACAGACACAGACAACUCUCUGCUGAGUAUUCUAGCGGUGUCUCCACACGAGGUAGACACACACAACACAGACAACUCUCUGCUGAUUAUUCUAGCGGUGUUUUCACACGAGGUAGACACACACACACAGACAACUCUCUGCUGAGUAUUCUAGCGGUGUCUCCACACGAGGUAGACACACACACAGACACAGACAACUCUCUGCUGAGUAUUCUAGCAGUGUCUCCACACGAGGUAGACACACACAGACAACUCUCUGCUGAGUAUUCUAGCGGUGUCUCCACGCGAGGUAGACACACACACACAGACAACUCUCUGCUGAGUAUUCUAGCGGUAUCUCCACACGAGGUAGACACACACAGACAACUCUCUGCUGAGUAUUCUAGCGGUGUCUCCACACGAGGUAGACACACACACAGACAACUCUCUGCUGAGUAUUCUAGCGGUGUCUCCACGCGAGGUAGACACACACAGACAACUCUCUGCUGAGUAUUCUAGCAGUGUCUCCACACGAGGUAGACACACACACACAGACAACUCUCUGCUGAGUAUUCUAGCGGUGUCUCCACACGAGGUAGACACACACACAGACAACUCUCUGCUGAGUAUUCUAGCGGUGUCUCCACACGAGGUAGACACACACAGACAACUCUCUGCUGAGUAUUCUAGCAGUGUCUCCACACGAGGUAGACACACACACACAGACAACUCUCUGCUGAGUAUUCUAGCGGUGUCUCCACACGAGGUAGACACACACACAGACAACUCUCUGCUGAGUAUUCUAGCGGUGUCUCCACACGAGGUAGACACACACACAGACAACUCUCUGCUGAGUAUUCCAACGAUGUCUCUGCGACAGACAUCACCAGUCAUGUAGCGUACUCACGCGGCACGUGACUCUGAUUCCUUUCGUGUCUAUCUUGAGCCCCAAUCGGGAGCCUUUUUUUAUUAAGCCCUUCCGUCUUCUCCUGCGGUUCUACAGACUCGUAAAGGUUUAUGGAGAUCCGAUGCGACCGAUGUUGCUGCUACCAUCCGCAACACUGGCGUAUCUGCCAACUCAGUCGCUCGCCGGAGACCAGUCGCCUCCCUGUCGCUCUUCUAUCGCUGCGACCACCGUUCCGGUUCGCGUGAACUCCCACCCGUCGAAUCCUCCUCCACCCGUGUCGAGGAAUCGGUCUCUCCCAACACGCUCACCGUUUCGUUCGUUCCGUGCACGCCGUGUUCAAAAAUCACGAUGCAGGUCACAACAAGCACACUUCACUCACCAACUCACUCACCCACCCACCCCCUCCACUCGUCACACUUCAGGGCACCUCGCUUCCCCUGUUGUGAUUCUUCCCCUCGCAUCGCUCAACUUUGAAAUUCCCUCCCAAGUGUAACCUCGCUCAAUUCGCGACGCGCCUUACACUCUAAUUAAUGAUCAAUUACAGCUCCGGCAGUGCUGUUUGUUGCUGGCCGCUUGACAAAUUGGCCAUUUGGAUCUGGGCCCAACAACUGUUGUUGUGUUUUUCUUUCUUAUAAUUUACGGACGGGGUGGGGAGGGGGGGGGGGGUUGUGAAACGUCGUACAUUGUUACGCCCACGUCAAAUGAAAACACGCGCAACUGAUGUCCUGUCGUACAUGCGCGCUGGCCUCGGAGGAACGGAGUUACGCACGGAGAAUAUCCGAGUCUGCAGCACAGAGGCCGCUCAGCCACAAGGAGUUAUCCACGGGGACCGUCGUGGCUGCCGAAAUGAAGGGGACAGCUGAGACUGCCGCACCGGCAGAGGCGAGCAGAGGCGAGCAGCUGCUCCUGCUGCUAGGAGGUGUCUCCUCAACGGCGGAGCAGGCGGCUCGCCAUCGGAAGGUGUCGAGUUGACAUCCUGGCCGGGGGGUGUUGACUCAGCCCGUCAUCCCUCCGCGGUUGAUAAAGCACCACUUUGUGGGAAUGUCAACAGUGGUUGUCCGGUAGCGAGAUUCUUUGCGCUCUCUCUCCCUCUCGCUCUGUCUCUCUCUCUCUCUCUCCCUCUACGAGCCGUGUCCUCUGUCAAAGACAUCCGCAAUCACGCAUGGCCUUCCUUCCAUUUAGCCGUGUCCAUGAUAUUAACUCUAACACGUUGUAUUAGAUGCUCACAAUUGCAUCCGAUUGUCCAAUUUGCUCAUGCAACUUAAUUCGCUAUAAUCACUGGCUUCUUGUAUACCUGUAAUUGUCCCAGUCAAAACACAUUCAUAUUCACUCGCUUCUUUUCACAUUGCAUGUCUGAGAAAUCUCACUUGACCUUUCUCCAAUUCGUCCUAUUAACUUUACUUCCGAGUAGCCUCCUGCUAUCUAUCAUACAUUUACGUUCCUCCUCUUGUCUGUGAAACGUUUAAGAUCCUUCUCCUUAAACCAAAAAUAAACUUAUCUGCUGCAUUUGGUUUGCUCUGGAAGGGCAUUUGAUUCGCUCCCACUGAAUUUAGAAACAUCCUUUGAGAUUAUUUAGAUAAUUUCGGUGCUACAAAUUUCCAAAUUAUGGCUGCCACUUUGUUGAGCUAUCAUUUGUGGCCAGGUCGCUUCUGAAAAAUAAGUUCAUUCCUAAGUGGGCUUUGCCUGGGUAGUUAUAUUUGUAUGUGUUUGGGUGAUUUGUUCACCUUUUUGUACUUUUCACCACUAUCAUGUUCUGUAUCGUUUGUUGUUGUAACGUUCUUACCCGCCCCUACUGGACAUCUGAAAAUAAUAAAAGAGCUUUACAUCUCAUCGGAUUCCUCCAGUAUGAAUACACAUUCUGGUUCUGAAUUCGCACCACUGGGUUCUGCAGAGCUGUAGACAGGAGUUGAGCAAUCUUGAUUUGAAGCUUUCGUGACUGCAGGAAUCCAUACUCUUUGGUUCUUUCGGUAAAGUCACGUAAGGAUAUAAAAUAAAAUAAAUCACGACGUUUCAGGUGCCAACACAAGCGUCCGUCAUCAGGUGGCCUCACACGACCGAUAUUGCUCAUAAUUGAGUUGUUUUUUUUGGGGUUAGAUCGCGUGAGAAUAAAUGUGUCGUGACCCGCCACCACCCGAC